ensembl:lncRNA
ACCAACCUGUAUUAGACCAGAGGUUUUAGAAAUACACCUUAAGGGCAACUUGUGAAUGUGCUUCAUUGAAUCACACAUGAAAUGUCAAAGAGGAGAAAGUGAUCCUGUGAGUAUCAAAACUGAACCAUGAAGAAGAAACUGCGAACUGUAAGUCCUUAUAUUUCCCCUUUAUGCUGGGGCAUUGUUUUGGCCUCCUCGUUGGCUGAGGUGGAAAGGUGAAUGAUUUAAAUAAUGUUUUUUGUUGGUACGUGGGCUAAUUACCUGUUUAGUUUGAACAUGUGUCAAUGCUGUGUUAGAAGGGGUGUAGUAUAGGUUCCAAGUGAAUUGUGAGAAUAGUAACAUAGGGUUUCUCAGAGUGCAGCCAAAACAUACUCCAAGGUUUUGUCUAGAUUUUCUUUCGACAUGCUUCGCCACUACUUCCUGAACUUUGCAUCACGUCACAUGAGUUACCGUACUGAUGAGGGUUCAGAUUGAGUGAUCAGAGAUGCAUGCUAGGGUUCUGCGCUGUCUGAAGCCUCCAGCUCUGUAGACUUGCCCCUUCAGGUGAAGGCAUGUGUCUAAGAGGUGGUUGUGAAGUCAUUUACAUGAACUGGGAUGUCAUUCAAGAUGGUGACAGGCUCUCACCUAAAGGAGAAACGCCCGGGGAUGAGAGGUGAGGGCUCUUCCUCAACGACUAGAACACCACCUCAGUCCUUCGCUAGAGAACCAUGGAGCACAUUUCAACGUUGCCCACCAUACAUCUUGAAGCCGUAGCUACGGUUUCUCUACCUCCGCAGCUGGAGUAGAGCACAGCUGCAGUCACGAAAAGGGUUCUUGGUGGGAUCUUACCGCGAUAGGUUCUGAUUUAAGAGGACCGAACUUCCAGGACCAGCUGGACUCCUCCAUUACUCUGCAGUUCAGCCUGAGAAAGGCUUGCAUCUGAGCCAGCAGAGGGCUCAUCGGCCUGCUGUUCAUAUGGGAUGAGGAGAAUCCUACUGUAAAGACCUACCAACCAAUCCCUGCUCUGUUCAAGGUCUGGUCCGUUCAUGACCUACCUACCAACUACUGGGACGUCCGAUACCUACCAACUACUGGGACGUCUGAAACCUACCAACUACUGGGACGUCUGAAACCUACCAACUACUGGGACGUCUGAAACCUACCAACUACUGGGACGUCUGAAAC